ACGACCUUGCCAAGGUCGGGGUCGCGAGUUCGAGUCUCGUUUCCCGCUCCA
rnacentral:tRNA from 1 species